rnacentral:misc_RNA from 1 species
GGGAAAGGUAGGUAUUAUAUAAAGGGAAAGAAACAUAAGUAGAGGAGAAGACAAUUCUUUCCCAAUACUUCUUCGCAUGUGCAGUAUCCUGCAAUGCAGUCCUAGUCAAUAAAUAGCUGAAAUGACAAACUUGAAGAAGAAAUUAAGCCUUCAAUCACGUUAUUUCGAUCAAACAACGGAACAGGAAAGCUUAUUUUAAACGUCAAGGAUCAUCAGAGAGCAUGACCCAUUCACAUUCU